rnacentral:rRNA from 1 species
GAUGAACGCUGGCGGCGUGCCUAAUACAUGCAAGUCGAGCGAACAGACGAGGAGCUUGCUCCUCUGACGUUAGCGGCGGACGGGUGAGUAACACGUGGAUAACCUACCUAUAAGACUGGGAUAACUUCGGGAAACCGGAGCUAAUACCGGAUAACAUGUUGAACCGCAUGGUUCAACAGUGAAAGACGGUCUUGCUGUCACUUAUACAUGGAUCCGCGCCGCAUUAGCUAGUUGGUAAGGUAACGGCUUACCAAGGCAACGAUGCGUAGCCGACCUGAGAGGGUGAUCGGCCACACUGGAACUGAGACACGGUCCAGACUCCUACGGGAGGCAGCAGUAGGGAAUCUUCCGCAAUGGGCGAAAGCCUGACGGAGCAACGCCGCGUGAGUGAAGAAGGUCUUCGGAUCGUAAAACUCUGUUAUUAGGGAAGAACAAAUGUGUAAGUAACUAUGCACGUCUUGACGGUACCUAAUCAGAAAGCCACGGCUAACUACGUG